rnacentral:rRNA from 1 species
CCACGCCGUAAACGAUGAUUACUCGUAGUAUGCGAUAUAUUGUAUGCUACUAAGGGAAACCGAUAAGUAAUCCACCUGGGGAGUACGCCGGCAACGGUGAAACUCAAAGGAAUUGACGGGGGCCCGCACAAGCGGAGGAACAUGUGGUUUAAUUCGAUGAUACGCGAGGAACCUUACCCGGGCUUGAACUGCAGGAGACGGUUGGCAGAGAUGCCAUCCUCCCUUCGGGGCUCCUGUGGAGGUGCUGCAUGGUUGU